rnacentral:rRNA from 1 species
UGCGCAGGCGGUUGUGUAAGACAGGUGUGAAAUCCCCGGGCUUAACCUGGGAACUGCGCUUGUGACUGCACAGCUAGAGUACGGCAGAGGGGGGUGGAAUUCCUGGUGUAGCAGUGAAAUGCGUAGAUAUCAGGAGGAACACCGAUGGCGAAGGCAGCCCCCUGGGCCUGUACUGACGCUCAUGCACGAAAGCGUGGGGGAGCAAACA